GCGGUAUCCUGGCAACCUGUUAGCUGUUGUUCACCUGGAACGUGCUUCCGUCACAUUUUAGCUAGCGCCAAUUGAAUGCGAGUUUAAUUUAAAGUCAAUGUAGCGCAGUGGUUCGUGCCUGAGCUCACUGUACAAUGAUUGAACAGCUGCGUUUGACGUGCGACAGGCUCGUGUCUCACCGGCAGCUCGCGUGCGGCCACUCUUACUGCGGCAUACCGGUGCAUGGAAAAGACAUAUUCAUUUACUCUAACACGGACACUGAGCGAAAGCCUUUGCUGCUCACCGGCCACCAUGGCGACAUCAGUGCCAUGACAUUUGGACAGAGCAGCAGGCGUCUUCUCCUCUGCUCUGCCUCUGCUGAUUAUAUCAUUGUCUGGGAUGUUGAACAGUGUCAGAAGAGAUCUCAGGAGGGUAAAAUUGCAGCUGGUACGAUUGUUGGAUCUCUACUGGGUGACGUUGUUCAUCUUUCAUUCUGUUCUUCUGACGAGCGAGUGGCUGCAUGCUCAGGAGUAACUGUCUAUAUUCUCAGCUCAGAGAAACAAGAGGUGAUCUCUGCUUUAGCUGGUCACCUGGGACCUUUGACAUCGGCAGAGUUUUGUCCCUGGAACAAACACAUUCUCAUCACCACAUCAGAAGACCGCACUUUUAAGGUGUGGAAUUUAGAAACUGAAACAGUUUGCUACCAGUCUUUUGUGCUUUCAGCUUCUCCACUGAUCAGUUCAGCGUUCCUGGAGGAGAACAGGCACGUUAUCAUUGGCUCAACUGAUGGACAGGUGUGGUGUUUCUCUUUUCCUGAUGACCACAAGUGUGAGCUUGUGACCAAAAUAGAAAUCCAGAAAGUUGAAAGACGACUUCACAAUUCACAGCAAGAAACCCUGGGCCAGCAAGCAGAGAGCGUGAAACAGUUGCCUGCAGAUGAAGUGGAAAUAUCAAAACCUAUCCUUAAAAUGGCUCCGUGGAGCUCAUUUACAGACACCACUAUUCCAGAAAGGGACAGCAGCUGGUUGUGUGUCGGAAGCUCUGAUGGCCUGUAUGUGGUGAACGUAGCGACCUCAGAACUCCUCACAGUCCUGUAUUUCAGAGAUUACCCCAACCUCAGCCUCUCAGUGGCUGGGUCCUGGUCAAUCUCUCCAGGGUUGGACAACUCGAUGGUGUUUUUAGUGAGCUCUUUGUUUACUCCCCAUGUGGUGUUGGUGAAGUUACAUCUGUGUGAGCUUGAGGGAAUCUGGGCUGGCGAUGAAGGCUUUUCAGUGUUCCCGAGUUCUCCUCUGCUGCUUGAAUCUCCUCUCAAUGUUGAGUUAAAGAAGAAAGAAGCAAACCAUCCUAAAAAGAAAGGAGAAGUGAAGGAUCAGCCUUUGGUUUUCCACUCAGUAGCCAGGUCAUCUGGAUACGCCAGUGCUCCACGAAAAACUAUGUUUUCACCAAAAACGAAUAUUCAGAAGAAUCCAUUUUUCAAAAAGGCCAGGAAAAAUGCAGGAUUACUUCUUAAAGAUUACCCAGGAGACAGCACAGCACCUAUUAUUCCACACAACCAUCUAAGUAUUGCUAGCAAACCAGUCCACUGCAUUCAGUAUUCAGGUGAUGGAAAACAAAUCCUGUGUGGUCUUGGCAACAGCUCCGUGUUAUUGUACAAGUCUUCUCUUUCUGGCAAUCCAGCUGUCUACACAGGCCAUGACAAGCCAGUGAGCAGUGUGAGCUGGAGCCUCAGCAGGCAGUGGUGGCUGAGUGCAUCAGAAGACCGCACGCUACGCCUCUGGAGCCAUGGCAGUCCAGAGCCUGCCAUUAUCAUGGCUAACAGCAGGUUUACAAAACCCAUUAGAAGUGCUCAGUUUUACUACCUGGACAAGUUUCUGCUUUUUGCAUCUGGGCCUUCCCUCUACUUGUACCUGUAUAAUGUGGACAUCACGCGUGAUGACAUCAAGAGAUAUCAACAACGAAGUGUGGUCAAACUGGCAAAAUGCUUCACAACAGGCUCGGCAACGGACAUCACUGCCAUGUCUGCAGCCAAUGAUUUCCUGUCUUAUAUUGUUCUUGUGUGUGGUUCCGAUCGAUCCAUUCAAGUUUUCGACAUGAACAAGGGUGUAGUUGCGUCAAAGCUAGCUGAUCCGCACAGCAGAGCCGUCCACUGCAUCACUCAGAACAAGGGCUCCAUGUUCAGCACACAGGCUCUGGAUUCAUAUAAUCUCUUCCUCACCAGUGCAGUCACAGAUGGUGUAAAGAUUUGGGACCUCCGUACGCUCAGGUGUGUCCGCCGCUAUGAGAGCCAUCUGAAUCGCUGCCAUCCGUGCUCUUCAGCCUUUUCACCAUGCGGCCAGUUCAUUGUCUCAGGCUCGGAAGAUAACUGUGUGAAACACAGACAGGAAACAGCAGGAUAUCUUUCAGUUUCAGCUCCAUUUAAGGGGCCACACAUGGCAUCGGCCUCAGACAGGAGACCCUCUGCCCACGGCCCACUGGACAGGGCUCGCUUGCAGUGUUUUUCAGAGAAGCAUAAUACCAAACAGAUGCACGGCCUAUGUGUAUGACAUCCGUAGCAGCGGCUACCUUCACAAGCUUCAAAGGCACUCAGACACAGUCCUUAGUGUGACCUUUAACCCAGCCACCCCAGAGCUGCUGACUGGGACCCUCGAUGGGAAGCUGAGGCUUUUCCAGUCCAGCAGCGGGGCCUCUAUGACUCCUGACACCAGACCUGCUGUGUCCCCGACAUGACUGGACUCCGUAGCGGGCGGCGACGCACCUCUGGCUGGGAUUCCUCUAAGAUUAAUAGAAAGUUAGAGGUUUUAAGAGCUUGUUUUCACGUUAUUUAUCUUUGUGCUUGACUCGCAGUCUUUGUUAAAGCUCCAGUAUGUAAAUUAUCAGAGCACAUUUUACUGACUGGGCCAUUGGGGAUUCUGUGGUUUGACUGAAGUUCAUUUAGCCUCGCAGCAUUUAAUCAGUUAUCGAUAAUUACACCUACACCAAAUAUGCCAAGAGUCAUUAAACCAAGUCCUUUGAUGCACAUUGUGGAUGGUCAUAGAUCAGAUUUUGUUAGUGGUGUAUGCGAAGCAGAUGUACAUCUAUAUUAUUCAGUAUGACGACUACUUGACAGAUGACUAUGCAGCUAUGACAUCAGCUGGGUGCAACCUCUUUGUCUGCCAGGCCCACAGAUGCUACUACCGUUGAUGGUGACACACCCAUCCACAUAGUUUGAGCUUUACAUUCACCUCCUGUGAGGUCUCAACAAAAUAGGUGUUUAUUGUAGAUGUUAUGACAGGAUUAAAAAUACAGGAAUUAAAAACUGUUACUGUUCUGUU